rnacentral:lncRNA from 1 species
UGCUGCAUAAGCGGAAAAAACUUAAAUUUUGGCCCUCUAAGUCUCGACUAAUGCUCAUUUCGGUCCUUAAUGUUUUAAUUCGUCUAUUUUAGUCUUUUCAAGUUCUUAUUUUAGUUUAAAGUUGCCCUUGGGCCGAUUUAACAGGCAACAUGGUUAAACUUCUCUCUCGAUAAAUAACCCACAUACCAAAAAAGAAAUGCUGUACAAUUAAGUUGUGAAACCCUCUAUAUGCCUAACUUUUUAUAGGACGUACAUCCAAUAAUUAUAUGAUGUUGUUUCUUGAGAUUUAAGUACAAUGUGUCGACGAGUGAUACUCGCGGACCGGAAGAAUAGGGUAUUGGGGUACGUUAGAAAAAGGAUUUACGUAGUACGACAUCAAAGCAGACAAAAGACAAGGAUUAUACUGGUUCAGACCCCUUAUCAGGUAAUAGUCCUAGCCCAGUUUAUAUGGGAUUGAUGAUGAUGAGAACAGAUUACAAAGAGAGUAAACGAAUUGACGCUACCGAUGAGAUCGUAGUCGAGGGAUUCGACGAGAUCUCCCGACGAGUUGGCUCCGUGCACUCCGGCUUCGUAAACUUUGGUGGGUGUGUUGGCGAUGAGAUGCGAUACCCUUACCUUCUCCCUACGGGCCCCUUUUAUACCGUGGGAUAACUUGACCCCAAGUAAGACUUGAAAAUUAUGUAAACCGACACGAUAUACUAGAGAUCAUACCCUUUCCGAGUAGGACUUCGGCAAUUCCUUAACUUGUGAAGAUAUUUUCCAUAAUUUGAGGCGAAUUCCUAACAACGUAUAUGGAAACCAACCGUACACGUGAAGGUAUAUCUCAUCGGUAUUUUCCAUAAGUCAUAGGAUAAAGGGUAUGACUUAUCCAUAACCCUGACAUAAUGAAUUUUCUUAUAGGUCAUACAUAAUUUAUAUACAUAAAAAACAAUUAUAUAUUCUAUAGCCAUUAAAGCUCAUCCCUUGCGUGUUACUCCCUCCGUCCCAAAAAAAUACAAACCCUGGGUUUCCGUGUCCAAUUUUGACUGUCCGUCUUAUAUGUAAUUUUUUUAUAAUUCGUAUUUUCAUUGUUGUUAGAUGAUAAAACAUGAUUAAUAUUUUAUUCGUGACUUGUCUUUUUAAUUUUUUUUCAUAAUUUUUUCAAAUAAGACGGACGGUCAAACGUUGGACACGGAAACCAGGGUUUGUUUUUUUUUUACGGAGGGAGUACGCGCUAAAAUAAUAGGAAGUACAUGUACAAUGAUAUUUAUUUUUUCCCUCUUUUCUAGUGUAUUGCAAAUUAAUGGUGAAGUGGAUAUUUUCUUAUACCAAGAUUAGCAUAAGUAGAUCCGAGGAUGAUUUUAAGUUAAAACGAAUACUUAAAGGACAAAUACGGACAAAAUGAAUCCUAAGAACUAAAUUAAGCUUUAGGUAAACUUAAGAGACUAAAUCGAGUAUUCGUUCAAAGGAAACCUGACUCGAUCUUUAUGCCAUCACCCUAUAUGGAUAUAUUCUCUUAUCAUUCUGAAUGGGUAUUAACACUAUUACUGCUAAUCUAGAUAUGUAGCUCGUCAACCAUCACGGCACAAAAAUAUCUUCAUAUUUGCUCACAUCAGCUAUAUUAAAGGGGACUAGCUAUCCAUCACACGACAGAGCCUCAGUACAGAUCUAUACGUAAUCCAACGGAUGAAAAACUGACAAAUUUUGACCGAGAAAUCUGUCGCCAGAUGCCUAGCAAAUUCGAUGGGACUAGCUAUCCAUCACGCGACAGAUUUUUGGGUCCAAAUCACACAGAUUUUAGAUAGUUGGAUUAGGCUCAUUUGAUUACUAGAUUAGAAGAGUCUAUACAUGUAUCAGCAUAUAUUAAUUAUAUAUAUUGCAUGUAUUUUAUUUUUUAAUCUUUACAUUGCAAAAAAAUUAUCACCAACCCAUCUACUAAAAGUUACAGUGUAAUUUUACUAUAGUUACAGUGUAACUACACUAUAGUUACACUGUAACUAUAGUGUAAUUACGUGUAGUUGCACUGUAAUUAUAGUGUAAUUACGUGUAGUAACACUAUAACUAUAGUGUAAUUACAGUAUAACUAUGUAAGUACACUUACAUGUCAUAUCAACAGAAUUUACAAAUGUAAUUUUAGUUAUAUAGGACUGUAAGUUUAGUAAUUACACAUGUAAGUUUAGUAUUUGCACACUAUAAUUACACAUUGUGGGGGCAUUGUUGCUAUUUUUUGUUGCAUUGAGCCGAUAAACCUAGUGAAAAAGAUACUACAUCAUGUCAGGCUUAGAGUAAAAUAAAACUCCUACCUCAGGGGACGGGUGCCGAACACCCGAUCUGACCCUACAUCACAGCCUCAGUACAGAUCUAUACGUAAUCCAACGGAUGAAAAUCUGACAAAUUUUGACCGAGAAAUCUGUCGCCAGAUGCCUAGCAAAUUCGAUAUUAAAGUAUCUAGUUCUUCCCCCGGUCCCCCACCCCCCCCCCCCCCCCCCCAAAAAAAAGUCAAGUAUAGAAGCAUCUGUCUGCAUCAGAGCGGGGUACCGCACUGUGGCAGCCAUGGAGUCCGGUGGGCUAAUCGCGCCAUCCGAGACAUGUUCGUCCGACGGUCGUGGCGGCGGCGGCGGCGGCUGGCGCGCCGCGCGCUUCCUCAUCGGUAACGUCGUCGCUGACCUCUCGCUGUACUCGCGCGCGUCCCUGCGCCGCGCGCAGGUCGAUCGAUUCUUUGCCUCGCCUGAGCGUUUCUCGGAUUCAUGGAUGCCGCAGCCGUCGGGUUCCUGGAGCGCAUCGGGUUCAACGGCGUGCAGGGCAAUCUGGUGAUGUACCUGACCGGGCCGAUGGGCAUGUCGACGGCGGCGGCGGCCGCCGGCGCCAACGCCUGGGGCGGGACCGUGCUGGUGCUGACGCUCGUCGGCGCGCUCGCCGCCGACUCGCGCCUCGGGCGGUACCGCGCCAUCGUGGCCGCCGGCGUGCUCCAUCUCCUGGUCAGUUCGAUCUUCCGCUUCUCUCGAUCUGUACCUGUCGAACAACUCUGUCAUCGGAUGAUCGAGUUCAUCGAUGUUCCAACAAAGAGUCGCAAUUUUACAGAGUUUGGGAAUGCUGACGAUCUCAUCAGUGAUGCAACCAAAUCAUCCUCACCCGGCGAGCUGCCAUGACGCAGCCGCCGCCUGCUCGCCGUCGCCGCCGCCGCCGCCAUCUCUCGCCCGCCUCGUCUUCUUCCACGCCGCGCUCUACCUGCUAGCGCUGGCGCAGGGCUUCCACAACCCGUGCUCCGAAGCCUUCGGCGCCGACCAGUUCGCGGCGAGCGACCCCGGCGCGCGCGCGUCCCGGAGCUCCUACUUCAACUGGUACCAGUUCUUCAAUUCCUUCGGCUAUGGCAUCUCCAACACCGCGCUCAGCUACGUCGAGGACAGCGUCAGCUGCACCGUCGGGUUCGCCGUGUGCUUGGCCACGACGGCGGUGUACCUCCCCAUCUUCUUGCUCGGCACGCGGGCGUACCGCGCCGAGCAACCCGUCGACGGCGCCCUGCUCGCGCGCCUCGCCAAGACGUCCUCCUCGGCGGCGCGUGCGUGGACGGCGAGGGUGUUUCGCCGGAAGGAUACCUCUUGCACAGAACGGUGAGCUCGCCGCGCCAGCGAAAGCAAAACGUGCGUUCUUGAUGAGUUGAUCUGAUAACCUUCCUAAUGGCGAAUGUUUUACACUAAUCGUGCAGGCUUCUGGCGAGGGAAGAGGUAGGCGAGAAGGGGUUCCUUGCCAAGUUGCUUCCGAUCUGGGUGACCAGCAUAGUGUUCGCCAUCGUCAGCGCGCAAGAGGUCACCCUGUUCAUCAAGCAGGGCAGCACAAUGGACCGGCGCAUCGGCGCGCGCGGGGGCCUCGUCGUGCCGCCCGCUGCUCUGCAGUCCAUUGUCAGCGUCAUCUUCCUCACCUUCGUGCCGGUCUACGACCGCGCCCUCGUGCCGCUCGCGAGGCGCUUCACGGGGCACCCCGCGGGCAUCACCACGCUCCAGCGCGUCGGCGUCGGCAUGGCCAUGUCCUGCCUCGCCAUGGCCGUGGCGGCGCUCGUCGAGGCCAAACGGCUCCGCGCCGCGAGCGACGCCGGCCUGAUCGACCGGCCGGACGCGACGGUGCCGAUGGGCGUGUGGUGGCUGGUGCCGCAGUACGCCCUCGUCGGCCUAUCGAAGGUGUUCGGCAUCAUCGGGCUCGACGAGUUCUUCUACGACCAGGUGCCCGACGACCUGCGCAGCGUCGGGCUCGCCAUGUCCCUGAGCGUGCGCGGCGUCGGGAGCUACGCUAGCGGCGUGCUCGUGUCGGCGAUCGACUGCGCGACGAGGAGCGGGGGAGAGAGCUGGUUCUCCGACAACCUCAACCGCGCGCACCUCGACUACUUCUACUGGAUCCUCGCCGCGCUCGCCGCUUUGGAGGUCGCCGUGUUCGUCUACAUCGCGAAGCGAUACGUCUACAAGAACAAAGGCGAGCCAUGAUUCUUCCGAGUUCGGAUUAGAGUGUGUAAUAAGUCUGAAAAAUGGUCCACAUGCUCAAAGAUGUGUACUCUUUCCCGUUUCAUAAUUCUUACAUUUUACAUAAGGUUAAGGUUAAACUUUUAUAACUUUAAUUAUCAAUAACUUUAAAGUAUUUAGUUUAAAGAAACUAUAACAAUGUAUAUAGAAUUAUCUUUCAAAGUACUAUGAGAAAAGUAAACAAUAUUUAUUUAUUUAUGUAUAUAUUAUAAUAGAAAAAUCAAGUUAAACAUGUAUUUUGAACACCGUGUCAUUAUCUAAAUGUUAAGAAUUAUGGAACGAGAGGGACUAUAGUAUUUAUAGUGAGAGAAUGCAACAUAAAGAUUAUGGUACCUCUCUAGCAGCAAGAUGGAGUACAAGUACUUGGUGGCUGGGGCAUGCUUGGAUUGUAUCCAUCAGACGAAAAAGGCUGAAAUUCCUGUUGUUUGGUGUAAGUGCAUAUAAAAAGUUAGAGUCAGAUAUUAGCUCUACGUUAUUUAGAGAUUAGCAUUCUACAACAAUUAGAGACAAUAUGGUUUCUAAUAAUUAAUGUAUAAAAAUAUUUUUUCUUACUCUUCUUUUCUUUCUUUCACCACCAUGCAACAAAAUUUGCUCUAAUAAAUACUACGAGUCGACUCUGAGCUGUUGUCAUGCAUAACAACCAUACUCCUUUCUCUUUCUUCUAUGUCAUCAAAUUUACUUGCAUGGCAAUAGAGAGAGACCACUAAUAAAGACGGUUGUACAUGCCCUAAUACACCCAGAAGAUUAAAAAGGCCUAGAGGCAUGCGUGAUCUCUCCUUACGAAUAUGUAUAGGAAAGUAGGUUGUAUUUUUGGUACACUUAACUUAUAGGUGUAUAAAGGUUUUACAAGAGGAAAAAUAAAUACAAAUUCUCCAAGCAGGCUCUCUUAGGCUGUGUUCGGGAGGAGGGGUUGGGUUGGGAACCCCUCCUCCCCGGCACGUAAAACGAAGGUCCUAUUAUUGCGUGAUUAAUUAAGUAUUAGCUAAUUUUUUUCAGAAAUGGAUCAAUAUGAUUUUUUUAAACAACUUUCGUAUAGAUUUUUUUUGCAAAAAAAACACCAUUUAGCAGUUUGAAAAGCGUGCGCAUGGAAAACGAGGCGGAGGAGUUGGGAACAGGCAGCAACGAACAGAGCCUUAGAGCAAGCCUAAUAACAUAGCCAGCUACUGGCUCUAUACUAAUACCAUGUCACCUAUAGCCAUCAGGCCCAUCACUAAUAUAAUAGGCUGACUGUUAGGUUGGCUGUUUGUUUAACUCUAUUGAAGAUUUAGAUAUUUAAUAUUAGCAUGUGCACCUGAUCUCCUCGCAUCUGAUUGGAAGAAAGCAAUAUUUCCUCGUGUGUUGUGCUUCAGCCGGGCGAUAGAUGGAGCGCCCGCUCCAUCCUUUUUCUUCCCUUCUCACUCCUCCACGUCGGAUUUUGCUGACGGGUAACGUGCUAGCGCCGGCUGAUUAGGAUGUAUUAAACCUGCUCUUAGGAGUACUACUCUCUAGUCAAAUUGCUUUGACGUUGAAAAAGUGGACAUCAUUUUUUUUUUGCUAGUGGGAGUAAUUCUGUGACAAAAAACAGUAUCAUUAGGUUUAGGUUUCAAUUUAUUUUUGAUAUAAUCAUGAUUUUGUGGAAAAAUCAAUCGGCAAAGUUUGAUUGUAAGUUACCACCUUCUUCGGUAUUUACAACGGUGGGUAGAAAUCCCAUCGCCCGAACGCGUGCACACAGUCGCACACGAUUUUUGGUGCACUUUCUUUUUUAAUAACAUUAAUUAAUGACGGAAACAAUUAUGCUCGGGCGCUCUGUACCUAACAAAAUAUCGGGCGUCUUAUCAGUCAACCAUUCCACAUUCCUCCGUGGCGGUGGUCGGGCCAUGGUUUGUUGUGACCGGCGAGGGUUCAUGCAGCUGCGGUGGCUUGCUAGCACAUCGGCGUAGCUCGAGGCCAUGAGAUGGGAGGAAGACAGCAACCCGUGCACAAAUUUUGAUAAUUUGACCCUUUACAGAAACUCAGCCUGUUCAUCUACGGUUAAGACGGGUUUCCGCCAUAACCCAGCCCAACCCGGAGCUGGCUGGUAUUAGACGGUUUGGUCUAGCGGUUUGAACGGGUUAAACCGUUUGUCGUCUUCUUCGUAUGAGAACGAACAGAGAGCAGGACGACAGCCAUGGCAGCUGUCCUUUGCAAGCAGAUAAAAAUUCCUGCAGAUGAUGCGCAAGCACUUCUGUAGAUGAACGAACAGGCUGACCUGGCUUCGUGCGGCGCUUUCCUCGUUGGUCGAUGAGCACGGCCGGGGCGAGGAGGAUGACGAGACGAAAGCGGCGGUGAGAGGGAUGCGGAGCCGGCGGGGACGACGCGCGACGCUUUCCUCGUUGGUCGAUGAGCACGGCCGGGGCGAGGAGGAUGACGAGACUAAAGCGGCGGCGAGAGGGAUGCGGAGCCGGCGGGGACGACGGCGGUUUCAACGGGUUGUAGGUUAAAGCAGCCCAACCCGUGCAGAACCGGCCGUGCGGUUCGGUCUGGUUCGGUUUGAUGGUUUGACCGGGUUGUGCCCAACCCGUGAACAGCCUGAACAGAAACUUAUUAAAAAAUAAACCGUGUUAAAAACUUAUUUUAAAAAUGAACCGUGACCUCAGCGCCAAUUCCGAUGGCGCUGCGCCACCAAUUUUAGCGCUAACCUCCGAGUUGUCAUAAGUUAGCCACAUUAUCAAGGCCCUCUAAAGCAAAGGUCAUGGGAGGUCAUGGGUUUGAAUCCGCGCCUGUGAUUUUCAACCGUUAUAUGCCUAAAAAAUUUGCUAGCUUAAGGCUUCGAACCCAAGACCUAGUGCUAAAAACCAAUAGAGCUAACCACUGCACUAGUAGUAUAUUUCAGGUAGGCAUCACCAAUAGAGCCUUUUAGGCUUUGAAAAGGUCAGCGCCAAUGAGAGUGGCGCUGACCCAUGAUGAUGUGGCUAAUUUAUGACACCUCGGACGGAGGUUAGCGCUAAAAUUAGUGGCGCUGAGAUGUUGGAUCUCAGCGCCACUUCCGAUGGCACUGAGGUCGCGGUUCAUUUUUAAAAUAAGUUUUUAACACGAUUUAUUCUUGUAAUAAGUUUUUACAAAGGGUUAAAUUGUCAAAAUUUAUGGCAUCCCGUGUAUGGAUCUGGAGAUGGCGCGGUUUCCGUUUUGCCCAAGUGAUGACGAUGGCAUAGCGAGCUCCCAAUAGCAAACGAUGACAGGGUGGUGAGGGCCUAGGGAAACGACGGCUGCUCGCCUCAGAGGAGCAGAAGGGCGUUGUACCUUCUCGGCGUGGAUCUCCAGCGAAGAACGGAGGAGAGCACUGAGCCGACAACCCUUGGCAAUCCUGUGUUCGUCGGAGGGAAGAAGAUACAGUCCAAACCGGAUAUAUUUUAUUUCAUUUUUUUUUAUGUUUUAGCUAGUGUACUUAUGAUGUUUCUUUGUGUUUGGAUCAAAUGUUGAUAGUAUGCCAUAUUUUCAUCUUUGAUGCACACGGUUUUGUUUAUGUUUCAAUAAUUCAAACCUAAAAAAAAUUCAAAAUUAAUGUACCAUAUGUUGUAGUGGAAUGUUUCAAGUGUGAUUUGGUUAUGUUUCAUCAUUUAAAAUGUUGUGAAAUAUUUUCGUAUAAAAAGGUGAAACAACACCAAAUUUUUUUUUUGGAAAACCGGGCGUUCAAUUUGUAGUCGUAUCCCACUAAUGAUGCUUGUUUUCAUUUUCAGCGCCGCUAAUCCCUGUAUCGCUGGACACGACACGUGCCCUAGAGCGAGCUUGAGCUUUAGCUCGUGUGAGUUUGGGCGCACGAACUGCCUACCGGUGAGCGAAUCAUCCUUUCACGCUUAGCUGGAUUAUGUGACAGCCGGAAGAAGAUACCUAAAGAAUAGAGAAGAGGGUUCGAUACUAUCGUAACUUUUGAAGCCUGCUCUAUCUCUAGAAAGAACACAAUGACUGAGUUUUCAACCAACGACAAUGGAACAGGAUCGAUAUUGCGAAGACGAUGACAAAGGAAGCAUCUCUUUAGCCUUUGACAAAGGUUGUGGUUCGGCAGCUAGCUACUUAUGUAGCCACUAUAGUCCUAGGUCAGCCCAUCUGAUUAGAUAGAGUGCACUCAGUCCCUUCCCCUACUUCCUCUUUUUUUUUUUCUGUUCAGUUGUAAUUGGCAACUUUACUCGUCUUAUUGCAAAGAUAUGUAAGUCUUUUACGUAUUAAAAAAUUGCUCGCGAGCUUUGCGCUGGGUGGGCUUGCAUUUUUGGGUCUACCGUUUAAUUGGGUCAAUUUAUGCCUAAUAAAAAGUUUAAAGAACACUGUUUCUUCUUUGAUUAAAUUUUACAUUAGACUAUUUUUUUCACAUAAGUUUCAAGUAGAGAUUUUAUACAUUUAUUCAGUUCAUCCGUUUGAAGGAGGCAUCUAUCUUUAUACGCCAUCACUCUCUACUCUCUAUUACUCCGAAUUACUAUUGAGUAUAUUGAUCUAGACAUCUAGCCACAAUCAGGCAAGGCCAUCAGCCCAUUACGACACAGAAAAAUAUCUUGAUAUCUGCCCACGUCAGCUAUAAAAAAGUAUCGAGAGUUCUUCCAAAAAAAAGAAGAAGAGGCGGCUAAAAGUAUCCAAGCAUCUGUCUGCAACUCUGCAUCAUAGCGGCCGGGGUGCCACUCUGCAGUCUCUCACUGUGCUGGACAUGGAGUCCGGCGGGAUACUCCCACCAUCCGAGACAUGCGCCGGCUCCGGUUCACCGGACGGCCGCGGCGGCUGGCGCGCCGCGCGCUUCCUCAUCGGUAACGCCGUCGCUGACCUCUCGCCGUACUCGCGCGCGUCACCGCACGCACGCAGGUCGAUCGAUUCUUUGCCUCGCCUGAGCGUUUCUCGGAUGGAUGGAUGCAGCCGUCGGGUUCCUGGAGCGCAUCGGGUUCAACGGCGUGCAGGGCAACCUGGUGAUGUACCUGAGCGGGCCGAUGGGCAUGUCGACGGCGGCGGCGGCCGCCGGCGCCAACGCCUGGGGCGGGACGGUGCUGGUGCUGACGCUCGUCGGCGCGCUCGCCGCCGACUCGCGGCUCGGGCGGUACCGGGCAAUCGUGGCCGCCGGCGUGCUCCAUCUGCUGGUCAGUUCUUUGCUUCCGAUCCCCACCUGUAAGUUAGUUAAUUACCAACAUCUCGAGCAUCUAUCCAUGUCGUGAUCAAGUUCGCGUUCUCAAUUUGAUAUUCCCCGGCCCGGCAACACUGUUUUUGUGAAUGGAUUGUUUCACUUUUCUUGGGUAUGUUCUUGAUAGCGAGGGAUGGCACUAACUUUAUCACAAUUAGAUGGUAGUCGUUUGUAUUGAAGAUAAAGAUAAAUUUAGGACAUAAGAAACAAGACAUUUUUAUCGCAUUAUAAAUUGAGUUUUAAUUAUUUUAAACCUAAAAAUAUUAUAUGAUAUUUAAAAAAAUCGAAUGAAAUGUAUUGUUUAGCGGUUUGAAAGACAUGUUAAUGACAAUCAAGAUAAAAUAUGCAUUUUAAUGUUGUUGAUAGAAGCAGAUGGAUUAAAUUAAAUAUUAGAAAGUUGAUACGAAUUAUAAUUUUUUUUAAGGAAACUUUAUGAAAAACAUUUUUCUGAAAGAACUACUCUCUCCGUCCCUAAAUAUAAGAUAUUUUGGUUAGAUGUGAUGCAUCCCAGUACAAUGAAUCUAGAUAAUUGUUAGCAACCAAAUCACCAAACAAUAAGAAUUUUACCACGAACAACUAUUCAGUCAACAAUGCUGUUUUGGAGGUGGAAGAUGGGGAAAUACAUGGGGCUAGAAGGUUCUGGAAGCUAGGGAAUGGGAGGUGGAGGAGGGAAUAGGUACUCGACAAGGAUCCAGCCCGGACCCAAGCCGCCUAGGUUGGUCGCCGUCCUGUCUUUUCUGUUCGUCUUUGAGUGAGCAGUAGCUAUUGCGUUAUGUAUUGCUCUUCCUGGGUUUGCUUGGGCCGGGAUUUGCGUAGCGGACCAGCUGUGGUGCAGCCCAACAAGGUGUCUAACAAUCCCCUCUCCUUGAAUUCGGCUUGUCUCCAUGCCGAUGAAUUAAAACCUCCCGGAUCCCAUGGUUGCUCCAAAUAUUUGGUGUUAGACAAUAGAACAUUAUUGAAGAAGAAUAGAGCAAGUAGCUUUAGCCUCGAUAACUUCUUACUCCAUGCGAAGUCCUCAUGUGUGAUGCCUGACAAUGGCACUGUUAUGAAUUGCUUGCCAACAAUGAUUCCCAACAAUUUGAUAUGCUACAAACAAUGACAACCUCGUUUGAUCAACUGCAUAGUCCACCUAUGUUCAUGAUUAUGUCCAUUUAUUGGCAUGCCGAUUUCAUCAGUCAAGCAUAUGCAUUGCCCAGUAGAUCCUAAUGUAUUUACCACCUCUGCAGAAACUAACUCAAAAGUAUAUUUCUCAUCAUGAAUUGAAUUAGCAUCUUCUUCCAUUUCUUUCACCCUUUUGCAGCCUUUUUCAUCAGCAAUCACAUAUAGCAGAUCUCUUUCAGCAUUCAAACCAAUGUAAUUUGAUUCCAAACAUGACUCAGAUUCUGAUAUCACCAUACAAAUUAUUCUCAUAUUCCAUUUCUCCACUCUAGUUUGGUAGUAGUUGAGCAACAUCCCCCGGAGAUCAACAGAUGAUAACCAAACAGAUAAUGAUUUAGGAUCACAAAUAACUAGAUUGCUUUCCUUGCUAGCAAGUGUUGUCAAACUAACCUGGAAAGUCAGAUCCCAAAACUUCUGCAUUUUCUGCUCAAAGCAAGUGCAAGUUUCAGUAGUCAUCAUUUUCUUUUGCUCAUUCCAAGAAAUUAUACUUGCAGCAGAAUCAGUAGUGCAACAUUUCCCUUCUCUAGCUUCCAGAAAACAAACUAAUGGCAGCCAAGGUGGCAUGCCAAAUAGUCUCAGCUUGUCAACAUGUUUUCCUUUGAAGGAAAUGUUCUCAGAACCAAAUUGCUCAGUACUGCUCAGCUCCACAACCAUCACUCUUGCAAGAAGUAAGUGACUGCUCUUUCUUAAUUGACGCCGACAGGUGGUGGGCGUCACCUUUGACUGCUCUUUCUUAAUUGACGCCAACAAGUCUUUUGCCUUCUUCCCAACUUCCGGUGUGCAUGCUUCAACCACAUCUAUGAGAGACCGUAUAUCAGCUCUAGCUCUCCGAUCAGCCUCCUCUCGCCUCAGCUCAUACUCCUCUAUCCGCCUCAAUAGCAAGUCCAAUUUGUCUUCUAUUGCCAUGGCACCCUACUUGAUGAGAACUUUCUCAACUAGACCAAGAGCUAGAUGGGGGAAACCAGGCUGGCUCUGAUACCAAAUUGUUAGCAACCAAAUCACCAAACAACAAGAAUUUUACCACGAACAACUAUUCAGUCAACAAUGUUGUUUUGGAGGUGGAAGAUGGGGAAAUACAGGGGGCUAGAAGGUUCUGGAAGCUAGGGAAUGGGGGGUGGAGGAGGGAAUAGGUACUCGACGAGGAUCCAGCCCGGACCCAAGCCGCCGCCGCCACCGCCGAUCGCCAAGCCGCCUAGGCUGGUCGCCGUCCUGUCUUUUCUGUUCGUCUUUGAAUGAGCAGCAGCUAUUGCUUUAUGUAUUUCUCUUCCUGGGUUUGCUUGGGCCAGGAUUUGCGUAGCGGAUCAGCUGUGGUGCAGCCCAACAAGGUGUCUAACAAUAAUUUUUUUAUGUGUCACAUCCAACCAAAAUCCUUUAUAUUUAGAGACAGGGAGUACCUGUUUAAGAGUUUUAGUUUUAAAAAAUAGUGUGAUUUAUACUUUAUGCCACCUUUUAUUAUUGAAUUUUACUAUGGUCCAUCAAUUAGCUAUUUUUGCCAUUUUUCAUUUUGUACCAACAUAACAUUCUUAUCUAGCCAUAUCCAAUCUCUCAUUCAUCAAAUAUGUGAGUAUAUGUAAAUAGGGGAGAUCAUCGGUAUGAGGAUGCCGAUGUGCUUGAGGCCGUUGAUAUGCUCGCGAAAAGAGUUUGGGUAGUCUAAAGUGAAAAAUAAUAAGAAUAUCUGGUCCAACGUGAAAAGAUUCGAGGGAGGGUGAUCCAAAGUAAAACUUCGGUAAUAAAGAUAUUUCAAAGUACAAAUCACUCUUUCAAAUAUAUAUCUAGUAAAAAAAUGAACUUUAUCCUUUUAAAACACAAGCUUAACACAACAAAAGUAAAUGAUAAAUUUGGUUCUAUGUCAUUCAAAGAUCGAAUUUUAGUUUUAUACUAACUUUUAAAGUAUUUUUUAUUACACAGAAGAAGUAUACCACACACUUUUAACGCACGUUUGAAAAACUAAAGAUCAAUGGUAAAUCUUGAUCUUAUUGAAUUCAUAUUGGAAGAACUCAUUGGGAGGGCAACGUUUUAAUUUCAAUCUGCUAGCAAGGGGAAGAAGUGAAGAACUUGUGCUGUAAACUUGGGACAACAUGAAUGUAAUUAAAAAAAUCGAUCGGGUUUAAUCAUAAAAAAUGGUGGCAGAAGUAUCAUGCAGUAUAUUCGGGUGAUAUUUGCAAAUCUAAAUUUGCACAAAGCUUUCGUGAAAUAGUCAAAAGUGGUUGCCUACGUCACCUGACUGCAAUGAUAACAGAGCUAGCGGCUGUAUGAUUUGGUUCCUUGUUCACUUUAAUAAAUCAAUUCUAGAUGGAUAUGUGAUAUAAUCUAGUUUAAUAAAUUUGGAUAAGUGCUUAUUCAAAUUCGCUGUACAUCACAUUCUAAUCUACUAUGUAGAUGAUUAUUUAUUUAUUUUAGGAUGGAGGGAGUACGUUUUAUAGCCAUUUCUUUUAUGAAAAAAAGUAGAGCUUGGGCAUGCUGACGAUCUCAUCAGUGAUGCAACCAACGCACCAACACCCGGUGAGCUGCCAUGACGCCGCCGCCGCCUGCUCGCCGCCGCCACCGCCAUCGCCAUCUCUCGGCCGCCUCGUCUUCUUCCACGCCGCGCUCUACCUGCUUGCGCUGGCGCAGGGCUUCCACAACCCGUGCUCGGAAGCCUUCGGCGCCGACCAGUUCACGCCGCCGAGCGACCCUGGCGCGCGCGCGUCCCGGAGCUCCUACUUCAACUGGUACAACUUCUCCAGUUCCUGCGGCUACGCCAUCUCCAACACCGCCAUGAGCUACGUCGAGGACAACGUCAGCUGGACCGUCGGGUUCGCCGCGUGCUUGGCCACCACGGCGGUGUACCUCCCCGUCUUCUUGCUCGGCACGGCGGCGUACCGCGCCGAGCAACCCAUCGACGGCGCGCUGCUCGCGCUGCUCGCCAAGAAGUCCUUGUCAGCCACGCGCGUGUGGACGGCGAGGGUGUUUCCCCGGAAGGACGCCAUUUGCACGGAACGGUACAGACUGCGUUCUUGACUCGUGCAUUGUCUAAACUCUUGCUAAAUUCUAAUGGCGUAGGUUUAAAUUUAACGCUAAUCUUGCAGGCUUCUGCUGGCGAAAGAAGAAGAGGUAGAACAUGGCAAGGGUUUCGUCGUCAAGCUGCUUCCGAUCUGGGUGACCAGCAUAGUGUUCGCCGCCGUCAUCUCGCAGCAGGUAACGCUGUUCACCAAGCAGGGCAGCACGAUGGACCGCCGCGUCGCCGUGGGCGGGGGCGUCUUCGUCCUGCCGCCCGCCGCGCUGCAGGACGUCAUCAGCGCCACCAUGCUCACCGUGCUGCCGGCCUACGACCGCGCCCUCGUGCCGCUCGCGAGGCGCUUCACGGGCCACCCCGCGGGCAUCACCACGCUCCAGCGCGUCGGCGCCGGCAUGGCCACGUGCUGCCUCCACAUGGUCGUGGCGGCGCUCGUCGAGGCCAAACGGCUCCGCGCCGCGAGCGACGCCGGGCUGCCGGCGGACGCCACCGUGCCGAUGAGCGUGUGGUGGCUGGUGCCGCAGUACGCCCUCGUCGGGCUAUCGAAGGUGUUCGGCGUCAUCGGGCUCCAGGAGUUCUUCUACGACCAGGUGCCCGACGACCUCCGCAGCGUCGGGCUCGCCAUGUCGCUGAGCGCGCAGGGCGUCGGGAGCUACGCCAGCAGCGCGCUCGUGUCGGCGAUCGACUGGGCGACGACGAGGAGAGGAGGAGAGAGCUGGUUCUCCGACGACAUCAACCGCGCGCACCUCGACUACUUCUACUGGCUCCUCGCCGCACUCGCCGCAUUGGAUGUCGCCGUUUUCGUGUACAUUGCAAAGCGAUAUGUCUACAGGAACAAAGACGAG